rnacentral:rRNA from 1 species
CGAGGGUGGCUAUAGCGGUGGGGAUCACCUCUUCCCAUUCCGAACAGAGAAGUUAAGCCCACCAGCGCAGAUGGUACUGGCCCACAAGCCGGGAGAGUAUGUCGCUGCCCUCCU